rnacentral:rRNA from 1 species
GACGUCCGUUAUGGAUACUGUAUAACUCUAGAGCUAAUACAUGCCUCGAUGCCCUGACCCUCACGGGGAUGGGUGCACUUAUUAGAUCAGAAGCCAACCGUGUUCAGCUGUGGCAACAUGGCUGGGCGCGUUGACCUUCUGGUGACUCUGGAUAAUUGUUACAGAUCGCAGUCGGCCUUGAGUCGGCGACGGGUCCUUCAAAUGUCUGCCCUAUCAACUUUCGAUGGUAGGUGACCUGCCUACCAUGGUGAUAACGGGUAACGGGGAAUCAGGGUUCGAUUCCGGAGAGGGAGCCUGAGAAACGGCUACCACUUCCAAGGGAGGCAGCGGGCGCGCAAAUUACCCACUCCCAGUACGGGGAGGUGGUGACAAAAAAUACCGAUGCGGGACUCCUUAAAGAGGCUCCGUAAUCGGAAUGAGUGGACUAUAAAUCCUUUCACGAGGAUCAAUUGGAGGGCAAGUCUGGUGCCAGCAGCCGCGGUAACUCCAGCUCCAAUAGCGUAUAUUACAAGUUGCUGCAGUUAAAAAGCUCGUAGUUGGAUCUCGGUAGCACUGUUGCCUGUUGGUCUUUGGGUGGAUGGUUGUCGUAGCUAUCGUCGUUGUCGUUAGUGGUGCAUGGGUGUGGCCCGUGUUACUGCAGAUGACGGCGUUGGCUGCGGCGGCAACUGUGCAUUCCAAGCUAGCGGGGUAGCGGUGUGACCUGUAAGCCAUGUCUGUGGUGAAAGCCACAGGUGUGAGCGAGUGUCGGGCGCCCUCCUGCGGUAGUGGGGCUUGUCGGCUCGUUUGCAUGCCUCUGGAUGCCCUUAAAAAAGGUGUCUGUGGGCGGAUGGCACUUUUUCUUUGAACAAAUUUGAGUGCUCAAAUC